CCUACGGGUGGCAGCAGUGGGGAAUAUUGCGCAAUGGGCGAAAGUCUGACGCAGCGACGUAGCGUGAGGGAUGAAGGUCUUCGGAGCGUAAACCUCUGUCAGUAGGGAAGUACGGUCACUGUGCUAAUCAGCAGUGAAUAGACGGUACCAGCAAAGGAAGCAUCGGCUAACUCCGUGCCAGCAGCCGCGGUAAUACGGAGGGUCCGAGUGUUAAUCGGAAUUACUGGGCGUAAAGCGCUCGUAGGCGGUAUGUCAAGUCAAGUGUGAAAGCCCCGGGCUCAACGUGGGAAGUGCCUUUGAAACUGGCAGACUGGAGUGUGUGAGAGGAGGGUGGAAUUCCAGGUGUAGGGGUGAAAUCCGUAGAUAUCUGGAGGAACUUCAGUGGCGAAGGCGACUAUCUGGCACAUAACUGACGCUGAGGAGCGAAAGCGUGGGUAGCAAACAGGAUUAGAUACCCGUGUAGUC
rnacentral:rRNA from 1 species